UCAUCUUCGAACGCCGCGCAGCACGUAUGGAAAUACAGACGAAUUUUUGGGAGUUCCGAGCGGUACCUCCGCUUUUACUCUCCUAGCAGAGCCGACUGUUUCCGGCCAGCUACAUCGAAACGUGGAGCGGUUUUUACUGCGCGUUACGACCGCUUUCUGCACAUCGCCUCAACGCCGGCCUCGCAGGGAAGCGGCGCGCGCAGAGCCCCGCGUCCCGCAGCGUCCCGCCCGCCAGCCGCCCCCGCUGGAGGCGGACGCGGCCGGAGUCCCUCUGCGGCCCCCGACGCCGCAGGCGGACAUCAAACGGCUCACAACGGCGUGAGGACGGCGGCCCGGCUGAGGAGCCGCAGAGGAGGGUGGCUCGCUGCAGCCCCUUCUCCGCGCCCUGUCCCCGAGGCCGAGUUCCCCCGCGCCGUCCCGUACCUCAGCCCGCGCCGCUCCCCGUUCCAGCCCCGCGGCCGCUUUAAGGAUUACAAACCGCUCCUCGCGCCGCGCCGCCGCGCGCACCGCCCUCCCCCCCGCCCCACCCCCCGGCGGCGCACGCGCGGCGCGGCCGAACACCUCCCGCCGCAGCUCCGUCUACUCCUCUCGCGGCGCGAGACGGCGGCGUCGCGAAGCGCGGUUGUAAACGCCGGGCGCAGGCGCGUCGCGCUGGGGCUCUCCCCGCCUCGGGGUGCACGUGACACGGCCCGGCUCCGCCCCUCGCCGCCGGCGGAGCGGGCGCAGCGUCGCGACUUUGUUUGGAAGAGUUCCGUGCGCGCGUGCUUCCGCGGGGCGAGCCGGCGGGGCCGCGCCGCGCGCGGGCUCCGAGAGGGCGUGGCCGAGGACGGCCCCGCCCCCCCCGGCCCCGCCGGGCGCGGGCAGCUGGCAGCGGGCAGCGGUUGGCUCCGCCAAGCGGCGCUGCUGCCGCCGCGUAACGGCCGCCCCGCCCGACGUCCCGCCCCCGGCAUGUCCCCGCCCCCGCGGGCCCUGCCCCCUCCCCUCCUCCUGCCGCCGCUGCCGCUGCUGCCAGCGCAGCCUGAACUGAAGCGAACUCCAGAGCGAACUGAGGAGAAGUGA
rnacentral:lncRNA from 1 species